GGUUUUUACUCACAGACUUCACAGAGUCAUCAGAGGAAACAUGAGAGCGGAAACUUUGCAUGCACAUUUGACAUUCAAAGUUUCCACUCUCAUGGUCACAGUGUAGAGCCUGUUUUAUCAGGGAUAUGUGUGCUGCACCUGCUCUGCUCUCAGGUUUCAGUCUCUGAGUAGCUGCUGUUAUAGCACUAAUAUGACUAAAGUUCCUUUAACAGCAACAGCAGAUUUCCCCCUUUAUUGAUUACAGAAACUUUUACUUCCCUGAAUGACAGGAACAAAUAGUUUCAAAGUUACAGUAUGGUAAAUGUCCCUCCUCUAUCUUUGGUUUAUGUUUAUUUGAACUUGAAGGAAAACAUCACGAGGCGAGGGAAUAAUGUGAUGUUUUCUUUCUGCCCUCCCUUCAUAAAAAAAUGGUCCAGUGUUCAGUGUGCUAAUAGAGGUCAUAAGGGGAACACUGGUGGAUGUUUCUCUACUAUUUAAAUAAUCAAACCAGCUCUGAUUACAACUAAUCUGUGUUGUAUUUGUACCUCAUGGUUGCAGUUUGUGAAUGAGGAAUUCUCAGAGCAACACAGAAAACAGCAGACUAUCUCAUACGUGAAACUGUCGGAGUUUUUGACCUCGAAGACAUGAAGUAGAAGCAGCUGAGCGGAACAGGUGACACCUUAUACACAGUGCUUGUCCUGUUAUCCUCCUGCUCACCUUUGAUAGCUCACGGCAGAUGGCUGCCCGUCCCUGAGUCUGAUUCUAAGGUUUCUUUCUGCUUUAUAGUGCAAAGUACUUUGAGGUGACUGUUCUUGUGAUUUGGAGCUAUAUAAAUCAAACUGAACUGAUAUCAAUUGUUCAUAAAAUAACUGAAGAAUUGGGAAUGACCUUAAGGUUUAAAUAGACACACCGCAAACCAGUUUACCUGCUGUGAAGGACAUCACAUCACCUGUGACCAUAAACAGGCUGCUGAGCCUCCACCUGGUCUGCUGCUAAUGUCUCCGUCUGUGGACUGAAGCCCUCAUAGUCUGUGUUUUGUACAGACACACAGUCAAGGUUAAACUCCACUUUGUCGUUCUGAGGUAUUAACUCACACUCACAUUCUACCAAGCCAAUGCGUUUUGUCUUGUGGCCUUCAUCAUGGACCCUGAUGAAGGCCCGAUAACUGAUAGGAAGCUUCCUUUAUGACUGCUUUCAUGUCAGGUAUAAACAGAUGCUUUAGAUUGAAAUGUGUCUGGGGGCGGGGGGGGGGAUCAACCAUCUUUGAACCUUCAGUGCUGCAGCUUCUCUCUCUCAGACCUGCAUGAACAUGUUGAACAUGUCAAAUUCACUUCUAAAGUAAAGAACCCAAGCAGGAAAACAGACAACAAAUAUCAGAAACUGUGUUAUAUUAUUAUUUAUUUAUUUAUUUAUUGUGGUUUUCUUUUGCAGGAUAGAAGUCAAAAAUAAGCAGGAUACUUUAUUCAUUUUACAUUAAUCCUAUUCAGUCUUAAUGGGGGAAAUUUAUAUUUUAAACAAAUCUGGAACAAGCUACAUUAAAUUUUCAGGCUGUAGCAGAUGUUCACAAAUCUUUCAUUGUCUGCCAAAAGUCCUUGCUUCAUCCUUAUUUGGUUUAAGCCAAUGUUAUUUUCUUUAAUCAGCCAGCAAAGUGGUGCACUGUUACUGAAACAAUGUGCAUUUGAGCCUCCUGCCCUAUGACAGCUGGGAUAGGCUCCACGCCCCUUCUCUCACAACCCUGAGGGAGGGUUGGAAGAAGACUGAUUUUAAAAAAGAAAAGAAAAAAAAGAUUGCUAAUCUCCUCCAUUAUUUAUGAUAACAUCUACAGAGACAGCCAAUGAACCAAAAUAUAGGUACAAGCAUAGUACCUAAAAAAAACUCCAACCCCUGAGCAUCACUGACUUGGACAAGUGGAAGAAGGAAGAUGGAUAUUGGAUUUUUUUUUUAAAAUCAGGAUGCACUUUUGCUAAUCUUCUCCAUUAUCCAAGAUAACAUCUACAAAGACAGCCAAUGAACAUGAAAUAUAUGAACAACCAUAAAAAAAAGAAAGAAAGAGCACGUGGAGCCUAUCCCAUAUCUCAAAGGGAUCUCAGUACUUUGGGUUAUUGUUUUUAAUUUAUUUUAGUUUUAAUUUCAAUACAUGUUACUUUUUAAAUAAUAUUUAUUAUUUUUAUGGUUUUUAAGCAUAGCAUAAGCAUAAGCAUAGGUGGUAUGUGUAAACUUUUGAGACAGAGGGGGAUAACCCAGUGAAAGUUAUGAAUAACUGUGAGCCACUGCUAAAUAAUGUCCAGAAUGUCAAAGAGUCAGAACGUUGUAUAGUAUGUUUAGCUGAGAAACCUGCUUUAGCUUCAAACAUGGCAUUUAUAUUUAAAAGAAAAUAAUUGUUUUAUGUAUAUUUCUCUUGUUUGUAAUUUAUUCCUUCCUAUUAGCAUUUAUAUUUUAUUCCCAGUUGGCGUGGAACACUUACAAUUUAAUUGUACAAUGACAACAAAGGGCUAUUGUAUUCUAAUUGACUCAGUGUCACAGAUCCAGGUUUCUGGGUCAUUAUCAGACAACUCUCUGAUUCAAACAUCACAUCCGUGGAUCUCUAGUGGAUUUUCAGCUCCUCACACAAAGUGAUGAAUUGCAUCGUUCAGGCUGAUGCAUGAUUAUGUUGAUAUAUUUUACUGUUUAUUUUUUUAAUUUAUAUCUAAUUUGUGUAAGUUUUUAUUAUAUUUAUUUAUUUUUCAUUUCAUUUUUUGCCUAACACACACUUUAUUGCACCAGUAGUAUGGAAAUGCUUAGAUCCAUGGAUCCAAAAUCCAAUUCAUUUUCAUUUUUUAUCACCUCUGCUGUUUGUUUUCAGAUCAGGACGAUUAGGUAGUUGGUAAAAUUUCAUGAAGCGCACUUUAUAACGGCUUUAUUCUACAUAGCAGAAGCAGAAUUUUGUGCUAUCCAGGUAACUUUAUGAUUAAACCUGUUUUUUUCUAUACUAAAAAAGUGGUUCACGUCUUACUGGUACAUCAUUAAUCUGGGGGGGAAAAAUGAAUAGCUGCAUCUAAAAAUGUGUAUUUAUUACUGAUGCUCAUCAGAAAAACAAACACUAGAUAAAUUUCUCCUAGUCCCUGUGCAGAGAUUAGAGGGGUCCUCCAGAAACGGUGAUGUUAUUUCAUAGAGAAUUGAUUGCUCAGAAAGCAGUGAUUUCAUACCUGCGGAUCAGGUUAAGAUCCAGAUAUCAGCAGGGAUGAAAUCACUGGCUUCUGAUUAAUAAGUCUUCAGAAAUUACCAUCAUCAUUCCUGGAGGAUCCCUCUGACCUGUGCAAGUGGAGGUUUCACAAGUCUGUGUUUCCGCAAUGAGCAUCAGCAAUAUAUACAGAUUCUUCGAUGCAGCUUUUUUUUUUUUUUUUUUUUUUUUUUUUUGUAAAUGUAAUCAUAAAAAAUUAUUCUAACCUUCUGGCUGCAAACAUUUUGUGCUUCUGGGCUUUCCAAUGCCUGCUAGUAGACUAAAACUACAUUUGAAUCCCACUUGCUCACACACACUCACCAUUUUCCUGUCUUUUGUUCCUGCCUUUAAGGGUCAGUCUUACUGACCAAUACUGUUAAAGCUUACACAUACAAAGUGCUUUUAAUAUUAAAUAUGAAAUCUAAUGAAAUGCACUGCUUUUCAACUCCUUCUACUGUCUUGUUUGCAGCAGCUGUGCUACUUUUCUGUUUUAUGUGUUACCUCUUCAUAUUUUUCUAAUAGUUUAGAAAACAAAACAAAAAAAUAUUGAAAUCAGCCAAUCAGCUACAAUGAUCAAUGCGAUGGUGAGAUAUCGCCCAUGCUACUCCUUUCAUGUGAACCUGGUCAUCCUCAUUGCCAAUGUUAGCGUAAAUUAAUGCAGAUGACGAAAAGGUACCCUUGUGUUAAUUGAACUCUCUUCAGAGUGCAGGGCCCAGAUUCGGGAGCUAGAUCAUAUUUCCAUGUCUCCACUGAAGCUUUGGAACAGCAACAGAGGACUCACAGUUAAGAUGGAAAAAAGCUUUGAAACAUUUCAAAUAGACUCCAGCUCAGCUGGAAGCUGGUAUGGACUCUGACUCUUUUUUUUUCUGUAAAUCAAAAAACCAGCAACAGUGGCAACAAUGAGGACAGCAGCAACUGACAGACCAACUAUUAGUCCAACAGAUCCAUCCUCCUUCCCUCCAUCCUCCUUCCCUCCAUCCUCUGUGUCUCCUCCUGUCUGACCUGCAGGAUCAACAAUCAGUCUGAUGCUCCUGACAGUUUCAGCAGCUCUCUUUCCGCGCUUUGUUCCUGGGAUGAGGACACGACACACGUAUAUUCCAUCAUCAUCAGUAAUCACAUCCUUCAGAAUCAAAGACACGUCUCCAUCCUUCAUCUGUGUGUCAUUCAGAUCCACACGGUUCUUAAAAGAUGGAUGCUGGUAAUCUGGGACAAACUGCUCAUCCCGAUACAAGAGGACAUAUUCUUCUUUCAGGUCAGCUCUACUCCACUCCACACCUAUCAGGUUCUUGUUGUUGUUUGGAGCUCGACAUGUCAGAGUGACCUUCUUUUGUCCAGACUCAGCUGUAAUAAUUUUCAGAUCUGAAAGCGGAAACAACCCAGAAGAGGUUAAAGGCGUUUAAGUACAACUAUUAUUUCAACAGCAGCCAAUCAGAGCUACCUGCUUGAAAGAGGAACCACUAAGCUCUGUGGAGUGACACAACAGUCUCAAAAGCACAACAGUCUUUGGGAGGAGCACUGAAUAACGCCACAUUCUCUAAAUAAACAAACUAUAGGAGACUUAACUGGUGCUUGGAAGAGGCAAGCUUAGGCACAUGAUUCUUACAUUCUGCAAUUCAUCUCGGGCGUUUCUCAAUAUGCGUACUUGUGCGUACUUGCGUUCUCGUGUACUCGUGAUACGUCAUCAGUCGGAGACCAAGUACUGUUCCAAUUCGAAGUAUGCAUCAAGCCGAGAACGCGAAAAAGUCCCGGAUGUGUUCUCGCUCCGCCCGUUUUAUCGAGCAUGCAUCGGUGUGGACUUGGUACAGCUAAAUAUCCCAGAAUGCAUUUCGUCCAAAACUCAACAGCGGACUCCCGGCACAUCGUUUUCAACCCCCCCCGCUCGCGGUCUUCUCACUACUCAGGUUAAAGAAACCCCAGCAGCUGUCUAUAGUAUUGAGUGUCCACUAGAAUAGAAAUAAAAGCGUUCUAACAUCUCACCUGCUUGUUUUUAUUAAGGUAUGUACACGUAUGUACAUGUACACUAUUUUUAUUAAUAGAGGUUUCACUACUGAGGUUAAAAAUGAUAUAUAAGUCACUUAGAUCACUUCUAAAUGUUAAUGUUUGGUUUAUUUCAGUGUUUUAUUUGUUCCUGAGUAAACCGGUUUGGCUGUGAUUAAAGUUAAGCUUCAUAACAUGUUACUCACAGUUAAAUUAAGAGGGGACGGCAGUAAAAACUCCGGACCUGUGACAUCAUCACGUACGCUGGUGUACAAAUCGCGAGUCCGUGCUCGCGUUCUCGGCGGGUACUACUCCCGUGCCUUCUCGGCCAGUACGUACUCGCGUACUUGAGAAUUGAGAAACGGCCCUCAUGUAAACAAUCACGUGGCGCACAGCGUGACGUGAAAAAAAGCACAUACCUUUGACGUUGCGUGACGAAUUCUGUAUUCCUCGGGGGGAGGGGGGGCAUUUUUUGUAAAACAAAGGGGGGCCUAGCAAAAUAAGUUUGGGAACCAACUCCUCGAGAACCUGAUAAAUAAUAGGUGGAUGACUACACGUAUAUCAAGAACGUUAAUUCUGAAAGCUUUAGUGAAAAUAUCUUAAUGUUGACAUACUUAUAGUUUAUAUCCUCCAGACAAAAACUUUUUCCAUCUUUUCAUUUACAGAACAAAAACACGCGGAUUAGAGACUCGGUUUACGCUACAAUAAACAACAGUGCGUGGAACUCGACGGCACACAUAACAUACAUUAACUUAACACUUCCGUACCUUCGGUGGCAGAAAUCCGUUGACAGAGAAACAGCAAAGCCAGGAAGGGCACCAUGUUCGCUCUCAUUUCGUGUUGUUCAGCUCAGUGAGUGUGAUAACGACAAUCACAGCAAACAACUGAAGUUUAAUAAUAAGUUUGAUUAAACUUCAGUUGUAAGCCACCGAAAAGCGACUGAACUGUAGAUCCUGCGACUGGGCGUCUCUCUCUGUGUGUGUGUGUGCUAUUUCGAGACUCGAGAGUCGCUGAGCUGCACCCAUUCCGGUAGAUCACGUGAUCACAUUGCGUUCAAAUGUUUUGCUACUUCUGUUUCUCUACUUCAUUUCGAUGAUAGUUUUUCUUACUCGCAGAUCACUGGAUUUAGUUUUACAUGUUAUUUAAUGACCAACCAGUAGCCUAAUGUUACACAGACAUGUCUGUUGUUGAUAGUAAAUGUAUUCGCUUACAUAACAGGAACUGCUGUUUGUUCUGCGGUGGG
ensembl:lncRNA